AAAGAAACAAUCUUAAAAACCCCUAAAUCAAAACAAGAAAACCCUGAGGAGGGAAAGAAACCCCGGUGAUAUCAAAAAUAUAAAAAAAAGAUGAAAUAGAUAAAAAGGAAUGACUCUCGCCUUCAUCUUGGACUUAUUCGCUUGCAGCCUUUUCUCUCUCUUUUCUCUUUCCUCCUUCUCUCCUAAUUUUACCAAGCAGAAAAAAAAAUCAGAUAAAAAGCCGAAAUUUAUGGAUUUGAAGAAAAAAAUUGUUUCGAAUCCAAGGUUUUACUUUGGAGGUCGAACGCGUACUGCUUUCUUCUCUUCGCUAAAUUGUUCUUCUUCGACAUCUUUCUCUCGCCCCCUACCUCGCUCGCUCUCUUUCUCUCUCGCCGGGGCCUUUCAGAAACCCUAGAUCCCUCGCAGCCGGAGGCGACUUAGAUUUUGGUCGGUUCCGGGUUGAACCCCGCGUCCCGAGAUUGGAAUCUGU
rnacentral:lncRNA from 1 species